rnacentral:rRNA from 1 species
UACGUAGGGGGCUAGCGUUGUCCGGAAUCAUUGGGCGUAAAGCGCGUGUAGGCGGUUCGGUAAGUCUGCUGUGAAAGUCGGGGGCUCAACCCUCGAAUGCCGGUGGAUACUGUCGGACUAGAGUGCGGAAGAGGCGAGUGGAAUUCCUGGUGUAGCGGUGAAAUGCGCAGAUAUCAGGAGGAACACCAAUUGCGAAGGCAGCUCGCUGGGACGUUACUGACGCUGAGGAGCGAAAGCGUGGGGAGCGAACAGG